ensembl:lncRNA
GGCGGCAGGGUAGCCUAGUGGUUAGAGUGGAGGGGCGGCAGGGUAGCCUAGUGGUUAGAGUGGAGGGGUGGCAGGGUAGCCUAGUGGUUAGAGUGUAGAGGCGGCAGGGUAGCCUAGUGGUUAGAGUGUAGAGGCGGCAGGGUAGCCUAGUGGUUAGAGUGUAGAGGUGGCAGGUAGCCUAGUGGUUAGAGUGUAGAGGUGGCAGGUAGCCUAGUGGUUAGAGUGUAGAGGUGGCAGGUAGCCUAGUGGUUAGAGUGUAGAGGUGGCAGGGUAGCCUAGUGGUUAGAGUGUAGAGGUGGCAGGGUAGCCUAGUGGUUAGAGUGUAGAGGCGGCAGGGUAGCCUAGUGGUUAGAGGGUAGAGGAGGUAGGGUAGCCUAGUGGUUAGAAUGUAGAGGUGGUAGGUAGCCUAGUGGUUAGAGUGUAGAGGAGGCAGGUAGCCUAGUGGUUAGAGUGUAGAGGAGGCAGGUAGCCUAGUGGUUAGAGUGUAGAGGUGGCAGGUAGCCUAGUGGUUAGAGUGUAGAGGAGGCAGGUAGCCUAGUGGUUAGAGGGUAGAGGUGGUAGGUAGCCUAGUGGUUAGAGGGUAGAGGUGGCAGGGUAGCCUAGUGGUUAGAGUGUAGAGGAGGCAGGUAGCCUAGUGGUUAGAUUGGAGGGGCGGCAGGGUAGCCUAGUGGUUAGAGUGGAGGGGCGGCAGGGUAGCCUAGUGGUUAGAGUGGAGGGGCGGCAGGGUAGCCUAGUGGUUAGAGUGGAGGGGCGGCAGGGUAGCCUAGUGGUUAGAGUGGAGGGGCGGCAG